GCCGGGAUGGCGGAACUGGCAGACGCAAGGGACUUAAAAUCCCUCGGCCCCAAAGGCCAUGUGGGUUCGACCCCCGCUCCCGGCACCA
rnacentral:tRNA from 1 species